rnacentral:rRNA from 1 species
AGGUUACUGCUAUCGGUGUUCGCCUAAGCCAUGCGAGUCAUAUGUUCGUAAGAACAUGGCGUACUGCUCAGUAACACGUGGAUAACCUGCCCUUGGGUCCGGCAUAACCCCGGGAAACUGGGGAUAAUUCCGGAUAACGCACAUAUGCUGGAAUGCUUUAUGCGUAAAAUGGAUUCGUCUGCCCAAGGAUGGGUCUGCGGCCUAUCAGGUAGUAGUGGGUGUAAUGUACCUACUAGCCUACGACGGGUACGGGUUGUGAGAGCAAGAGCCCGGAGAUGGAUUCUGAGACAUGAAUCCAGGCCCUACGGGGCGCAGCAGGCGCGAAAACUUUACAAUGCGGGAAACCGUGAUAAGGGGACACCGAGUGCCAGCAUCCUAUGCUGGCUGUCCGGGUGUGUAAAAUACACCUGUUAGCAAGGGCCGGGCAAGACCGGUGCCAGCCGCCGCGGUAACACCGGCGGCCCGAGUGGUGAUCGUGAUUAUUGGGUCUAAAGGGUCCGUAGCCGGUUUGGUCAGUCCUCCGGGAAAUCUGACAGCUUAACUGUUAGGCUUUCGGAGGAUACUGCCAGACUUGGAACCGGGAGAGGUAAGAGGUACUACAGGGGUAGGAGUGAAAUCUUGUAAUCCCUGUGGGACCGCCUGUGGCGAAGGCGUCUUACCAGAACGGGUUCGACGGUGAGGGACGAAAGCUGGGGGCACGAACCGGAUUAGAUACCCGGGUAGUCCCAGCCGUAAACGAUGCUCGCUAGGUGUCAGGCAUGGCGCGACCGUGUCUGGUGCCGCAGGGAAGCCGUGAAGCGAGCCACCUGGGAAGUACGGCCGCAAGGCUGAAACUUAA